UAACGUUUCGUCAAGUGAUACAAUUUUACAGGCCAAAAUGGAGAUAAGCUGCAAGAUCAAAGUUUGCUUAUUAUUAUAAAAAUAAAUGAGGCAUAAUAUUCAUACUAUAUACCUGUUGUUGGUUCAUCGCAGAACAAAAAUGGUGGAUCUGUUAGAAGUUCUGUCGCAAAUGCUAAGAUUUUUUUUUCUCCGCCAGAUAAUGUAAUCUAUAAUAGACAUUAAUGAUAUAAUUUUUUUUUUAUAUUGAUAAUAAGUGGUUU